rnacentral:rRNA from 1 species
AUUGAACGCUGGCGGUAUGCUUAACACAUGCAAGUCGAACGGUAGCAGGCCUUCGGGCGCUGACGAGUGGCGGACGGGUGAGUAACGCGUAGGAAUCUGCCUCAUAGUGGGGGACAACGUGGGGAAACUCACGCUAAUACCGCAUACGCCCUACGGGGGAAAGCGGGGGCUCUUCGGACCUCGCGCUAUGAGAUGAGCCUGCGUUAGAUUAGCUAGUUGGUAGGGUAAAAGCCUACCAAGGCGACGAUCUAUAGCUGGUCUGAGAGGACGAUCAGCCACACUGGGACUGAGACACGGCCCAGACUCCUACGGGAGGCAGCAGUGGGGAAGAUUGGACAAUGGGCGCAAGCCUGAUCCAGCAAUACCGCGUGUGUGAAGAAGGCCCUAGGGUUGUAAAGCACUUUCAAUUGGGAGGAAAACCUGCCGGUCAAUACCCGGCAGCUUGACAUUACCUUUAGAAGAAGCACCGGCCAACUCCGUGCCAGCAGCCGCCGUAACAC